rnacentral:rRNA from 1 species
UACAGAGGGUGCAAGCGUUAAUCGGAAUGACUGGGCGUAAAGGGCGCGUAGGUGGUUAUUUAAGUUAUAUGUGAAAUCCCCGGGCUUAACCUGGGAACUGCAUCUAAUACUGAAUAGCUUGAGUAGAAUAGAGGGGAGUGGAAUUUCCGGUGUAGCGGUGGAAUGCGUAGAUAUCGGAAGGAACACCAGUGGCGAAGGCGGCUCCCUGGAUUCAUACUGACACUGAGGCGCGAAAGCGUGGGGAGCAAACAGG